UAGUCCACGCCGUAAACUAUGCAUACAAGGCGUAGCUGGGAUUGACUCCGGCUGUGCCGAAGCUAACGCAUCUAGCAUGCCGCCUGGGGAGUACGGUCGCAAGACUAAAACUCAAAGGAAUUGACGGGGGCCCGCACAAGCGGUGGAUUAUGUGGUUUAAUUCGAAGCAACGCGCAGAACCUUACCUGGGCUUGACAUCCUUCGACCGCUACGGAAACGUAGUUUUCUCUUCGGAGACGGAGUGACAGGUGCUGCAUGGCUGUCGUCAGCUCGUGUUGUGAAAUGUUGGGUUAAGUCCCGCAACGAGCGCAACCCAUAUCAUUAGUUGCCAACAGGUAAUGCUGGGGACUCUAAUGAGACUGCCCGUGUCAAGCGGGAGGAAGGCGUGGACGACGUCAAGUCAGUAUGGCCCUUACACCCAGGGCUGCACACGUGCUACAAUGGCGACUACAGAAGGCAGCAAUACCGCGAGGUUGAGCAAAUCCGUUAAAAGUCGCCCC
rnacentral:rRNA from 1 species